GCCCGAAUGGUGUAAUGGUUAACACGUCCCGACAACUUUGCUUAUAGGGAAAUUUUCUGGUUCGACUCCAGAUUCGGGCC